ensembl:snRNA
AAAAAAAAGGAAAGGAGAAAUCAGUACUACCUUUGACAAGGAUGUAAGAGGUCCUCAGGCCUGACAACACACAUAUGGUUAAGGCAUUGCCACUUAUUUCAGGCAUCUAUCAUUUUUAU